rnacentral:rRNA from 1 species
UACGAAGGGGGCUAGCGUUGCUCGGAAUCACUGGGCGUAAAGCGCACGUAGGCGGACUCUUAAGUCAGGGGUGAAAUCCUGGAGCUCAACUCCAGAACUGCCUUUGAUACUGGGAAUCUCGAGUCCGGGAGAGGUGAGUGGAACUGCGAGUGUAGAGGUGAAAUUCGUAGAUAUUCGGCAAGAACACCAGUGGCGAAGGCGGCUCACUGGACCGUGUGUACGCUG